GAAAUAUGAUGAUCAAGAAGAAGCUGCUAACUUCUACCUUUAACGGUUAAAUUCCGUUUAUAUUUCU
rnacentral:tRNA from 2 species